UCGCCCCCCAAAACCACCCAGGUCAUCUCCCGGCUCAAGCCCCCGAAGAGCGCAUCUCUGAAGAUGAACCCCGUCCCGAGCAGGGCUGAGAACCAGAAAACCCGUUAUUGUCCCAGGGGAUCAGAAAUGGGUGAAGACACCUCCAAAAGGUACGAUUAUUCAACAAAUAUUAUUUCCCCACAGCUUUAAUCUUCACAAUUAAUCAAACAUUUGCACAUUUUAAAUAGAAAGGGGUUCUGGACACCUGAAGUAGUUUGCCCCGGCACUAUCUCUGUUGCUAUAUUCCUGUUUUUACGAACAGGGAGCUGCCACUGGAAAAGCAUGACUUCCCCAAGAUGAACCAAUAAACAGCUUUGGGUGGAAUUUUUGGUUUUGUUA
rnacentral:lncRNA from 1 species